AUUGAACGCUGGCGGCAGGCCUAACACAUGCAAGUCGAACGGUAGCACAGAGAGCUUGCUCUCGGGUGACGAGUGGCGGACGGGUGAGUAAUGUCUGGGAAACUGCCUGAUGGAGGGGGAUAACUACUGGAAACGGUAGCUAAUACCGCAUAACGUCGCAAGACCAAAGUGGGGGACCUUCGGGCCUCAUGCCAUCAGAUGUGCCCAGAUGGGAUUAGCUAGUAGGUGGGGUAAUGGCUCACCUAGGCGACGAUCCCUAGCUGGUCUGAGAGGAUGACCAGCCACACUGGAACUGAGACACGGUCCAGACUCCUACGGGAGGCAGCAGUGGGGAAUAUUGCACAAUGGGCGCAAGCCUGAUGCAGCCAUGCCGCGUGUGUGAAGAAGGCCUUCGGGUUGUAAAGCACUUUCAGCGGGGAGGAAGGCGGUGAGGUUAAUAACCUCAUCGAUUGACGUUACCCGCAGAAGAAGCACCGGCUAACUCCGUGCCAGCAGCCGCGGUAAUACGGAGGGUGCAAGCGUUAAUCGGAAUUACUGGGCGUAAAGCGCACGCAGGCGGUCUGUCAAGUCGGAUGUGAAAUCCCCGGGCUCAACCUGGGAACUGCAUUCGAAACUGGCAGGCUAGAGUCUUGUAGAGGGGGGUAGAAUUCCAGGUGUAGCGGUGAAAUGCGUAGAGAUCUGGAGGAAUACCGGUGGCGAAGGCGGCCCCCUGGACAAAGACUGACGCUCAGGUGCGAAAGCGUGGGGAGCAAACAGGAUUAGAUACCCUGGUAGUCCACGCCGUAAACGAUGUCGAUUUGGAGGUUGUGCCCUUGAGGCGUGGCUUCCGGAGCUAACGCGUUAAAUCGACCGCCUGGGGAGUACGGCCGCAAGGUUAAAACUCAAAUGAAUUGACGGGGGCCCGCACAAGCGGUGGAGCAUGUGGUUUAAUUCGAUGCAACGCGAAGAACCUUACCUGGUCUUGACAUCCACAGAACUUAGCAGAGAUGCUUUGGUGCCUUCGGGAACUGUGAGACAGGUGCUGCAUGGCUGUCGUCAGCUCGUGUUGUGAAAUGUUGGGUUAAGUCCCGCAACGAGCGCAACCCUUAUCCUUUGUUGCCAGCGGUUAGGCCGGGAACUCAAAGGAGACUGCCAGUGAUAAACUGGAGGAAGGUGGGGAUGACGUCAAGUCAUCAUGGCCCUUACGACCAGGGCUACACACGUGCUACAAUGGCAUAUACAAAGAGAAGCGACCUCGCGAGAGCAAGCGGACCUCAUAAAGUAUGUCGUAGUCCGGAUUGGAGUCUGCAACUCGACUCCAUGAAGUCGGAAUCGCUAGUAAUCGUAGAUCAGAAUGCUACGGUGAAUACGUUCCCGGGCCUUGUACACACCGCCCGUCACACCAUGGGAGUGGGUUGCAAAAGAAGUAGGUAGCUUAACCUUCGGGAGGGCGCUUACCACUUUGUGAUUCAUGACUGGGGUGA
rnacentral:rRNA from 1 species